rnacentral:rRNA from 1 species
CCUACGGGCGGCUGCAGUGAGGAAUAUUUGUCAAUGGGCGCGAGCCUGAACCAGCCAAGUAGCGCGAAGGAUGACUGCCCUACGGGUUGUAAACUUCUUUUAUAAAGGAAUAAAGUGAGGCAAGUGUGCCUUUUUGUAUGUACUUUAUGAAUAAGGAUCGGCUAACUCCGUGCCAGCAGCCGCGGUAAUACGGAGGAUCCGAGCGUUAUCCGGAUUUAUUGGGUAUAAAGGGAGCGUAGAUGGGUUCUUAAGUCAGUUGUGAACGUUUGCGGCUCAACCGUAAAAUUGCAAUUGAUACUGGCAGUCUUGAGUACAGUUGAGGUAGGCGGAAUUCGUGGUGUAGCGGUGAAAUGCUUAGAUAUCACGAAGAACUCCGAUUGCGAAGGCAGCUUACUAAACUGCCACUGACAUUGAUGCUCGAAAGUGUGGGUAUCAAACAGGAUUAGAUACCCUUGUAGUC